rnacentral:rRNA from 1 species
UACGGGGGGAGCAAGCGUUGUUCGGAUUUACUGGGCGUAAAGGGCGCGUAGGCGGUCAGCACAAGUCAGUUGUGAAAUCUCCGAGCUUAACUCGGAAAGGUCAACUGAUACUGUGCGACUAGAGUGCGGAAGGGGCAACUGGAAUUCUUGGUGUAGCGGUGAAAUGCGUAGAUAUCAAGAGGAACACCUGCGGCGAAGGCGGGUUGCUGGGCCGACACUGACGCUGAAGCGCGAAAGCCAGGGGAGCAAACGGG